rnacentral:rRNA from 1 species
UGCCAGCAGCCGCGGUAAUACGGAGGGGGUUAGCGUUGUUCGGAAUUACUGGGCGUAAAGCGCACGUAGGCGGAUUAGAAAGUUAGAGGUGAAAUCCCGGGGCUCAACCCCGGAACUGCCUUUAAAACUACUAGUCUAGAGUUCGAGAGAGGUGAGUGGAAUUCCGAGUGUAGAGGUGAAAUUCGUAGAUAUUUGGAAGAACACCAGUGGCGAAGGCGGCUCACUGGACCGUGAUCGACGCUGAGGAGCGAAAGCUAGGGGAGCAAACAGGAUUAGAUA